rnacentral:rRNA from 1 species
AUUGAACGCUGGCGGCAGGCCUAACACAUGCAAGUCGAACGGUAACAGGAAGAAGCUUGCUUCUUUGCUGACGAGUGGCGGACGGGUGAGUAAUGUCUGGGAAACUGCCUGAUGGAGGGGGAUAACUACUGGAAACGGUAGCUAAUACCGCAUAACGUCGCAAGACCAAAGAGGGGGACCUUCGGGCCUCUUGCCAUCGGAUGUGCCCAGAUGGGAUUAGCUAGUAGGUGGGGUAACGGCUCACCUAGGCGACGAUCCCUAGCUGGUCUGAGAGGAUGACCAGCCACCCUGGAAAUUAGACACGGUCCAGACUCCUAAGGGAGGCAGCAGGGGGGAAUAUUGGACAAUGGGCGGAAGCCUGAUGGAGCCAUGCCGCGUGGAAUAAGAAGGCCUUCGGGUUGUAAAGUACUUUCAGCGGGGAGGAAGGGAGUAAAGUUAAAACCCUUGCUCAUUGACGUUACCCGCAGAAGAAGCACCGGCUAACUUCGUG